rnacentral:rRNA from 1 species
UACGUAGGGUGCGAGCGUUAAUCGGAAUUACUGGGCGUAAAGCGUGCGCAGGCGGUUUGUUAAGACAGAUGUGAAAUCCCCGGGCUUAACCUGGGAACUGCAUUUGUGACUGGCAAGCUAGAGUAUGGCAGAGGGGGGUAGAAUUCCACGUGUAGCAGUGAAAUGCGUAGAGAUGUGGAGGAAUACCGAUGGCGAAGGCAGCCCCUGGACAAUAGCUGACACUCAGGCCACGAAAGCGUGGGGAGCAAAAGGGAGUU